AGACAGCCAGAGGCCUGGGGCAGCACAGACACGCGUGUGUCCAGGAGCAGCCACGUUGGAGGGAGAAGGCUGGGGGCAGGCCAGGCGGGAUGAUUAUCUGCACUGUAUAAGACAUUCAAGCAAGUCAGCUGGAAAAAAAAAACUCGUUUUAAAACGGGCAGAAGGCCUGAAUGGACACUUUUCCGAAGAAGACGUCCACACGGCCAACAGACACGUGAAAAGACGCUCCACGUGACUCACCGUCAGGGAAGUGCAAUUCAAAAGCGUGUUGAGAUGGCUGGAUGCUUCGCGUCAUUCGUCUUAAACACGAUGGAACUGGAUGCAAGGAUACGAUGAUACUUACGGGCUCACAUCCGGCAUGCGGGGCGUUGGGGACACGAGCUUCCCCUGCAGGGCUGUGACUCCCUGAAGCAGCGUGAGGGUAAGACAGCCUGCAGACCCCCUAGAACCCCUUCCAGCCCUUCGUCGCCGCACCUUGAGCCAGCCCUGCCUGAAGUCCGCCUCUGGCUACUCACCGGCUGCAGAAGCCACCAGUGUCGGGACCUUCUGUGUGUGUUUGCUCGCGGUGUGUGGAGAAAAGCUGGGUAUCGCCUGGAAAACAUGAUACUGAGCAGAAAAGGCCA